CCUACGGGGGGCAGCAGUGAGGAAUAUUGGUCAAUGGCCGUAAGGCUGAACCAGCCAAGUCGCGUGAAGGAAGAAGGAUCUAUGGUUUGUAAACUUCUUUUAUAGGGGAAUAAAGGUAUCCACGUGUGGAUUUUUGCAGGUACCCUAUGAAUAAGCAUCGGCUAACUCCGUGCCAGCAGCCGCGGUAAUACGGAGGAUGCGAGCGUUAUCCGGAUUUAUUGGGUUUAAAGGGUGCGUAGGUUGUUUUGUAAGUCAGCGGUGAAAGUUUGUGGCUCAACCAUAAAAUUGCCGUUGAAACUGGAAGACUUGAGUGUGUUUGAGGUAGGCGGAAUGCGUGGUGUAGCGGUGAAAUGCAUAGAUAUCACGAAGAACUCCGAUUGCGAAGGCAGCUUACUGGGCCAUAACUGACACUGAAGCACGAAAGCGUGGGGAUCAAACAGGAUUAGAUACCCUUGUAGUC
rnacentral:rRNA from 1 species